rnacentral:lncRNA from 1 species
CUUUGAGAAAGGGGGGCUUUAGGGGCUACGGGGACCACUCUCCUUGUGCAGCUGCGCGGUCCUGAGCGAGUGGCGCGAAAAUGGAAGCCGACUUGUUUACUUGUGGUUUUCAAAGUAGAAGAAAAGCCGCAGCAGCUUGAUGAAGACGUCUAUAGUAUAGUUAACCUUUAACGAUUAUCUGUUGGGGAUUGAAACUAAAGAUUGAACAAUUGUGGCUUGAUGAUCUUCUCUGUCUUCAGAAUUGAGAACUACCCUGAGUCAGUGCGAACGAGAAAACUUUUCAUUGCCCUUUUAACCAAACUUGGCAUUACAACGAA